rnacentral:rRNA from 1 species
GACGAACGCUGGCGGCGUGCCUAAUACAUGCAAGUCGAGCGGAGAAGGGUGGUACUUGUACCAACUGGGUGAGCGGCGGACGGGUGAGUAACGCGAGGGGAAUCUGCCUUGGAGCGGGGGAUAACAUUAGGAAAGGAAUGAUAAUACCGGAUAAGAACUUUAAACACAAGGAUUAAGUGUGAAAGAGGCAAUUGCAUAACCCAAAGAUGAUCCCGCGUUGUAUUUGCUAGUUGGUGAGGUAAAGGCCCACCAAGGCGAAGAUACAGAGCCGACCUGGGAGGGUUGUCGGCCCACUUUGGACUGGGACCCGGCCCAAACUCCCUCCGGGAGCAGCCGUAGGGGAUCUUCGGCCAUUGGCGGAAGUCUGACCCAACAACGCCGCGUGGGUGAAGGAAGUUUUCCGAUCGUAAAACUCUGUUGGUAGGGAAGAACGGUGGUGAGAGUGGAAAGCUCAUCAAGUGACGGUAACUACCCAGAAAGCGACGGCUAACUACGUG